AUGCUGUUUGACGGAACACAAGUCAGAGAAAAAACAUUUGCAAAUGUCACAUUGAUGGACAGUUGACAAGAUUUGGGAGUGGGAAACAGGAUGAAGCAUCCCUGAGAAAAUUGUUACUUCCGUGAGAACAUGGUCACCUCAUCUGGUUGAAUCCGGUUGAGACCGGCCGAGAUGCAGGUGCAGUCUAUUCUGGAAGCAUUUGGGUCAUCUGAGGCCAAUGUAUGACGUCAUGGAAA